ensembl:lncRNA
GUUUUGCUAGGCAUUAGUGUGUAUUUUCUUCUACUAUAGUCUUAGAGCACAGCAAAAUGCCAGUUGACUACUUUACUCCUUAUAUUAUUUUUCUCCUUUGUGACACAUCUUUACAAGAAAUUAUAGAAUUUAUUCCUUGUCUUCCAGUUUCUGUUUCCUCAGCUUACCCAUGUUACCAUUUUGAUCAACAAACAAGUAGUUUAAAGAAAACAAGUAAACUGUUUUUUUUUUUUCCUUGCCUAGUUCCUAUAUUUAUAUUUGCUUUCUUCUUUGUGUAAUACAUAGUACCUUGGAAAGAGCAUUUAGAAGAAUGAAGUCUUGACUGUCUUUGGAAGGUAAUAUGAUUUAAGAAGUUAAAUGUUUCCUCUACAUUGAAAAUCUGUCUUUUUUUAAAAUAAAUUUUCUAUAUGACUUCCAGAAAAUUACUCAUCACUACCUCCUAUGUGUAUAAACAUACAUUGCUCCAGACCUCCAUUGUCAUAUCUUAUAUGAAGAGGGCUACUUUUUCCCAAAACACAUUUUUGCUUUAAAUUUUCAGUUAGCUUAAUUAGUUGCGUUAUUAAAAUCCAGUAAGUGUUGAAAACAAUACAUGUCUGAAUAAAUGUUUUUAGUUCUACCUUUUUAGUUUGAAUACUGCACCAAAAAAUCUUUUCAGAAUUCCCAUUUGAAGCUCUUUUCUAUCUUACCUUUUCCCCACAGAACUUCACUUCAAACGUGGUGCUAAAUUAUUAUGGUUUACAGAAUGGUUUUGGUUGGAUGAAGAGACCUUGAAAUCAGCUAGUUCCAGCACUCCUUUCUUUGUGAGGGACAUCUUCCACUAGACUAGGUUACUCAAAGCCCCAUCCAACCUGGCCUUGAACAUUUCCAGGGAAAGAAGAUCCACAGCUUCUUUGGGAUAUCUGGUCCAGUGCUUCAUCAUACUUAUAGUGAAGAAUUUCUUCCUUUUAUCUAAUCUAAAAUUACUGUAUUUUAGUUCAAAAUUCUUAGCCCUUGUUCUGUUACUACACUCUCUAGUACAGCAUCCCUCCCGUCUUCCUUAUAUGCCCCCUUUAGGUGGGAGGCCUAUACAUGCUCCUACAUCAUCACCCCAGAGCCUGCUCUUCUCUAGGCUAAAUGACACGAACUCUCUUAGCCUGUCUUCACAGGAGCGGUGCUGUAGCCCUCUGCCCCCCCUCUGGACCUUUCUCACUGAUCCACAUCAUUCUUAUCUUGGGGCUCAAGAACUAAACCCCAUAUUCAAGGUGGGCUCUCAGUAUCCUUCUCCUUCAUUUUCCUUAUGCAAACAUAGAAAACAUUUUUUCUUAGUAAGGGACAGAAUGGAUGUCCAUUUCUGCAGUAAAGUAAUUGUGCAGUAGUUUGAUAACUCUACCUGAUUUGAAUAAUAUUUGACUAUGAAUGAAUUAUAUCCUUUCUUAUCUGCUUGCCAAACCUCCUACCAGUGUUAUAUGAGAGGUAUAUAAUGUGCUUUACACAAGUAACGGUUGUGGCUUCCUCACUUGACAAAAUGCCUAGUUAUCAUAACUUUCUUUCUGAAGGUACUCACAUGAAAAAAUAAAUGCUAUAUCUUUAUAAGGGGAUGAAUAUUUGAUUAUAUUCAAAAGAUUUUUAGUUUUGUUGUCACUAGGAGCUGGCUUCAACAAGAAUCAAAGCAGCAUAUCUGAAUAAGUUCUCAUGUUUCACUAUUCUGUAGCACAAGAGCUGUGUGAAUUUCUUAUUGUAUUUUAGUGAGUAUUAUCCAAGAAUAUUCCAUAGUGAUGAUGAGAUUUUUUUAACUACUUGACACUUGAAAAAGUGACAUUUUACUAGUUUCAUGCUAUAAUAAGUAGGAGGUAGCUUCCUUUUCCUUCUUCCUGAAACACUCCAGUUUUCACUGUUCAGCUUAGUUUUACAGAUGCAGCUAGAAUACCAUCAGGAUAAUCACACUGAUUGUUAUAAUCUGUAUGCCUCUCAUCUAUAUGAUGGGUUGUUAUGCCUCUCAUCUAUAUGGUGAGUUGUUAGUGUUUUGUCCAGCAGCUAUGAGAUACUUGGAAUAUUUUCUUUUUAAAUAGUAUUUUUACACGUAUGAGGAGUCUUCCAGGCACAGUCCACACAGACUCUUUUAAAACUCAGACACUACUGCACCACCAAGUGUUCUGGGAUUCACGACCCAUGCUGUGAGGUAGAACUCUAGCCAUGACCUUUUAUUUAACUCUCACAUCUAAUAGGCAGUUUAUAUGGUCCUUGCUGAUGCAUUCCUUAUGCCUACACCCAAAAUCAAGACAUUAAAAGUGGGAAUCAAAGAGCCUUGAAUGAGCCAGACAUGAGCUUACAUGACUCUUCCACAAAGCUAUCAUUCUCGUGAAAGCCAUCUCGAUGCUAAAACCAAAUAAAGCAAACAAAUAUCCUGAGUUUCUCCUUAAAGAAAGAUUUAAAAUUUGUGUAGUCAUCAACAACAACAAAAUAAUUGUGAAACAAGUCAAGAUAUGAAUUUCAAACUACCUCCUUAGAGGACAUUUUUAAUAUUACUUGUUGCAAUUUACAUUCUAUCUCACUGUAGAAUUGCUUCCUCAUAUUAACAAUGCUUGAGUGAUUUUGGUUCUCUCUUUCUACUGUUCACUGCGCUGCUUCAACAGUAUUAAAAGAUAAAUAUAUUUUUUUUAUUUUUUCUUUCACACUGGACAAUAAAAAGCAUUGUUUAAAGACUGAUUCAUCAAAAGAAAAUGACUGUUUUGUAAAGUAAGGUUGAGGUAUGGUGAAAAAUGGAGCAUUAAAAGAUGAAGAAAUUAGAGUGUCUGAUGGACGAUAAAGAGCCAAGAUAUCUGAAAAGUAUGUUUUGGUUAAUUACUUCAUUGACUAACUAUGGUGCUCUCUACUGUUCUUUCUUGGAAAGAAACAACAGAAUGAUAAUUUGUGAGAGUAUUGAAUUAAACAAACAAACAAACAAACAAAAAAAACAAGAUACAGCAAACAGUGAAGGUGAUUUCAAACAGUUGUGUUAGAUGUGGAAUGAAGAUAUAAAAUCCAAAGGUGAUAAGGCAGCAAAGGGUGUUGUAAAUUAGUGUGUGGUUGGUGCAUGUGAAGUGGAAAAAAGCACAAAGAAACUGAGCAGAAACUGGCUUGUGUAAUUUUUUGAUGGUGAGAACAAAGGUUCUUCAACAUGUUAAGCCUGAUCCUUUGGAACACAGUAAGUCCUAUCUAGUUAAUGGCACAUAAAAUGAUUGCUGUAGAAACAGAGAAAAUGCUGUUGCUUUUUUUUUUUUUUUUUUUCUCCAGAGGUUAGCUAAUGAUAAAUGCCAGGAGACAACACAAACAGACUUUAUUAUUGCUUGCUAUGAAGAAAGAAAAAAAUAAAUUUUAAAUAAUAGAGAGGCUAUAAAAACACUGCCUAGUUGAUCAAAAAGCGACAUAGCUAUUCCGUUCCAAAAAUAUUAGUCAGUUGUGGUUCCUUGUUGAGUAUCACUGCCAGAGGUGAAAGUCAAAGAGGCAUAUAAGUAAACUGGAAUUCAGUAAAAACAUUAUAUGAAAGGUGAGAGCAUCUGCUUCAUCACAGUAAUUCAAUUAUCAAGGACCUUUUAAAUGCAAAAAUAAGUCAAUGCUAAGUCACAUAGGGAAAGGAGGUGAUUGGUGACAGUCAACAUGGCUUCACUAAGGGCAAAUCAUGCCUGCCAAAUUUGGUGCUCUUCUACUACAGGGUUACAGAACUGGUGGAGAUAAUGGAUGGGCAGCUGAUAUUAUCUCGCUGUGCAGAGAAUUUGACACUUUCUAGCACAACAUUCUUGGAGAGAUGUGGAUUUAAUGGAAAGUCCACUCAGUGGAUAAGGAAUUGUCUGGAUGGUCACACUAAAAGUGCUGUGGAGAGUGGCUAAGUGUUUGACUGAAGACCAGCAAUGAGUGAGGUUCCUUAGGGGUCGGUACUGGGACUGAAGAUGUUUAACAUCACUAAUGGUAAAAUGGACAGUGGGACAGCCUGGCACAGUGCUCUCUGUCUGUUAAUCAAAGAAUUUCAUCACAUUACUAUGUGCUUAUAAUAGUAUCCAAAACUUAUAUUUUUAAAAUUGUAUUUAAUUUUUGAUUAAGAAUCUACUGCAAGGCACAUGACUAUAAGGCCUAUUUUUUCCUCUAAAUUAUGCCAAAGGAAAAAUUAGAGGCAUUUUUCAAGUUAAAGAAGAAAGUCCAUCUUUGCAGAACACUUACAGUCUAACUUUCAACAUCUUAGUAUCUUUUAUUCAAUGCAUAUUUCAUUAUAGUAUCACUAUUCUGAAACAUUAUUCAGGCCUUAAUUUUAUUGCUUUAUUUUUAUUUCUGAAUCUUUUUUUUUAUCACUUGUCAUCUUCCUCCCUUCUGAAUUAUUUUCUAUAAUUGCAAGAUUGUUCAAAGCUUCUGAUAUGUACUAUUUUUAUAAGUUAUGCAUAAGUCAUAUGCAAUAAUUCAUUACCACAGUGUGAUAAGGAUCAACACUAAAAUUUUAGCAGUGAUUAUUAACAAACCUCUCACGAGAUUUAAAGUGAGGGAACUCUAGCUUUAUGCCUGUCACUACACUUGAUGCAGUUUUUAAUGAGUCAAUAAAGCACACUUUCAUGUGUCUUAAUUCCAAUUAAAAUGUUGAAACUAUAUGAGAUGAAGUUGAUGAUGAG